rnacentral:rRNA from 1 species
GUCUAAGUAUAAGCAAUUAUACCGUGAAACUGCGAAUGGCUCAUUAAAUGCAGUUAUCGUUUAUUUGAUAGUACCUUACUACUUGGAUAACCGUGGUAAUUCUAGAGCUAAUACAUGCUAAAAACCCCGACUUCGGGAGGGGUGUAUUUAUUAGAUAAAAAACCAAUGCCCUUCGGGGCUCCUUGGUGAUUCAUAAUAACUUCUCAGAUCGCAUAGCCUUGAGCUGGCGACGGUUCAUUCAAAUUUCUGCCCUAUCAACUUUCGAUGGUAAGGUAGUGGCUUACCAUGGUUUCAACGGGUAACGGGGAAUUAGGGUUCGAUUCCGGAGAGGGAGCCUGAGAAACGGCUACCGCAUCCAAGGAAGACAGCAGGCGCGCAAAUUACCCAAUUCCGAUACGGAGAGGUAGUGACAAAAAAUACUGAUACAGGGCUCUUUUGGGUCUUGUAAUUGGAAUGAGUACAAUUUAAACCUCUUAACGAGGAACAAUUGGAGGGCAAGUCUGGUGCCAGCAGCCGCGGUAAUUCCAGCUCCAAUAGCGUAUAUUAAAGUUGUUGCAGUUAAAAAGCUCGUAGUUGAACCUUUGGCCUGGCUGGCAGGUCCGCCUCACCGCGUGCACUUGACCGGCCGGGCCUUUCUUUCCGGGGAACCGCAUGCCCUUCGCUGGGUGUGUUGGGGAUCCGGGACUUUUACUUUGAAAAAAUUAGAGUGUUCAAAGCAGGCCUUUGCUCGAAUACGUUAGCAUGGAAUAAUAGAAUAGGACGUCGCGGUCCUAUUUUGUUGGUUUCUAGGACCGCCGUAAUGAUUAAUAGGGACAGUCGGGGGCAUCAGUAUUCGAUAGUCAGAGGUGAAAUUCUUGGAUUUAUCGAAGACUAACUACUGCGAAAGCAUUUGCCAAGGAUGUUUUCAUUAAUCAGGGAACGAAAGUUAGGGGAUCGAAGACGAUCAGAUACCGUCGUAGUCUUAACCGUAAACUAUGCCGACUAGGGAUCGGGCGGUGUUUCUAAUGUGACCCGCUCGGCACCUUACGAGAAAUCAAAGUGUUUGGGUUCUGGGGGG